GAUUACAAUUUUCACAAAAUUGCUUGUGGGCAUAGUUUAACUGUCUGCUUGACCACAUCUGGCCAUGUUUUUACAAUGGGAAGUACCGUCUAUGGACAACUUGGAAAUCCUUUUUCUGAUGGGAAGUUGCCUUGCCUGGUAGAAGACAAACUUUUGGGGGAAAUUGUUGAAGAUAUUGCUUGCGGCUCAUACCAUGUGGCUGUUUUGACAUCCAAAAAUGAGGUUUAUACGUGGGGCAAGGGAGCCAACGGGAGAUUGGGUCACGGGGAUGUAGAGGACAGGAAAGCCCCCACUUUGGUUGAAGCUUUAAAGGAUAGACAUGUGAAAUAUAUUUCUUGUGGUUCUAAUUACACUGCUGCAAUAUGUCUUCACAAAUGGGUUUCUGGUGCUGAGCAGUCCCAGUGUUCAGCCUGUAGACAGGCUUUUGGCUUCACAAGGAAACGGCACAAUUGCUACAACUGUGGGCUUGUGCAUUGCCAUGCAUGCACUUCAAGAAAAGCAAUAAGGGCAGCUUUGGCUCCAAAUCCAAACAAACCGUAUCGUGUGUGUGAUUCUUGUUUUACAAAACUGAGUAAGGUUGCUGAGAUUGG
rnacentral:misc_RNA from 1 species